GUGGGUUUGAUCCCAUGGGGGACCAGUAUGGGAAUUGUAUGCACUCACUACUGUAAAUUGCUCUGAAGAAGAGUGUCUGCUAAAUUACUAAAAUGUAUCUGCUGCCCUCUCUCUUCACAGAUCCCAGCAUCUAGCUGAUCUGUUUGCAUAGAGGACACUUUGCAUUGGCAGCGCAUGCUUCAGUGCUCUUGGGAGUGUUUAUAGCCCUGUGAGUUUAACACUUCAUGACUGAGAGCUGUCCUUCAUGACAACAGAACCCACAACAACCAUGACUUUUUUCGCCAUCUUCAUCUGGACACUUUCCCUCUGCUUUCAAGAAUCUAGAGGACAGUACACUGUGACUCAGACUCCUGCUGUGAGAGCUGUUCUCCCAGGACAGUCAGUCUCUCUGAACUGUAAAACCAGCAGUAAUGUGCAUGGCGCAGGAGGCACUUAUCCCCGCCUAGCCUGGUAUCAACAGAAAGCUGGAGGAGCUCCUAAACUCCUUAUUUACUAUGCUAAAACCCUUCAGUCUGGGACUCCAUCUACAUUCAGUGGCAGUGGAACUCAUAGUGACUUCACUCUGACCAUCAGUGGAGUCCAGGCUGAAGAUGCAGGAGAUUACUACUGUCAGAGUUUCCACAGUAGUAAUGUGUUCACACAGUGAUACAGAGUCGUACAAAAACCUCCCUCAGUCAGACUGUACACUGACUGUACUGAUACAGCUGGGACCUACUGCAGGUGCUGAGGAGGAAGAGACAGUGACAUGGAACACUGACUGAACUAAAAUACACUGAGCUAAAUAUGUCAGUGAUGCUGACAUUAUGUCAACUCUUUCACCCUCAUGCUAAAGCAUUCCUGAACUGAUAACACUCACAGGUCCAGACUACAUAAAUAUUACUUCCCUGUUGCUAUGGCCAACAAACGUUUUCAUAACAUGUCACACAAUAAGUUGAAUGGACUCCAUCUAUAUGCAAUAGUAAUGUCUCACAUAAUUUCAGAAUAAAUAACCCAGCCUCUGUAGGGUAUGUCAGUCAGUUAGUGAAUUUCAAGCUAAGAUUCAACCAUAUUUAUUGAGAUAAACAUGAUUAUAACUCCCGAAAAUGUCCUGUGGUUCCAUCAAGUUAAAAUGUCUCUCCUGCCAACCCUUCAGCACCUUCCCAGCCUUUCAUUGAGCCCAGAUGAGGCUUGUUGACCAAUGAAGACCAUGACCAUGAUGAACCUCAACCUUAAUUAAUUGCUGCUAAUCACACAGAUCUCUUCAACUACAGUUUCCCUGGGGGAUCAGGACAGUCUGUUUGCAUAGACAGGACAUGCUUAAUGACCGUUCCACAGGUGCAUGUUCAUUAGUUGUUCAUGGUUCAUUGAACAAGCAUGGGAAACAGUGUUUAAACCCAUAGCAAUGAAGAUCUGUGAAGUUACUUGGAUUUUUACGAAUUAUCUUUGAAAGACAGGGUCCUAAAAAAGGGACAUUUCUUUUUUGCUGAGUAUAUAUGUUAUGACAGUAACUGUUUAGCAGUGUGAGUUCUGACAGCAGAUCUCAAAGGUUUAUUAUCAAAUGUCACUAAUUAUCAUCACUGGUAUUGGAGCUACAGUAUAACAGGAUCAUUCAGUAGUAGAAAUGAUUGUAGUCUUUGUUGGAUAGGAUGCCGUUUUCAUUCUGUUUAAAACAUGAGUAGAUAUUUGCUUCAAUGCUGAAAUUAUAAAAGAAGCUGAUUGAUGCAAAUUACUAUGAAAUGUGCUGCAUAUUCAUGAGAUAGUGAUCACUGGAAUCAUGCUUAUAGUAAUUAUUUGUGGUAUUUUCUAAAUAAAAAAAGCUUUAUUUGAACUAGAUGACAUUGUAAUGAAUUUCCUCCUCUUCUUCCGAAGAGGAGAGGCGAAACGGAUCAGAGGACCAAUACGCGGCGUGGUAAUUGUCCAUGGUUCUUUUUAAUACGUUAAGGUACACAUGAACAACUGACUACAAAAAAACAAGAAAUGUGAAAACUCAAAACAGUCCUAUCUGGUGCAAAGACAGAGACAGGAACAAUCACCCACCAACACACAGUGAAACCCAGGCU